AUUACAUGCUUCACUACAGCUAUGGCUGUCCAUGGUUCAAGUUCUGCAUCCUUCAUUCCCAGCCUCACUAACCUGAAAACUAACAGGACAUGACCUGUCUUCUGCCAGACAUGUAUAAUUCAUCUCCUAAGAGCAACUACUUCUCAAGGUUUCCCUUUUCUUGGGCUGAAUGUGAAGAGGAGGAAUGGAGCCAGAGACAAGCUGAGGAAUCAUGGACAUAAUAGCUGCUGUGAUAUGGAACAGGCCCCCUGGAGACUGAGGAAUGAACUUCUGAACAUAGCAAAACAUACCAAUUCAGAAGAUGGAUGCCAAAAAUGGCCAUCAAUUUUAUUUAUUGUCCCCAAAUCUUCAAAUACUUGACACUACUUCAAAUAAAAGGAAACGUAAGAACACAAACAUAAUAAAGUCAAGGGAGGUAUUUCAUAAACUUCUUCAAAGAAAUUUCUUUCCUUGCCUGCUAAAGGUGCAACCAAUCCAGAAAGCCUCUUUGGGAAGAAAAGAGUUUGUUGGUCACAUUACCCCUCAACUAUUUGUAAAUUAUUAAAGCACAUUUAUUUUUUAUUUUAAUUUUACUGAAUUAAAAAAUUUCAGUAUCAAUCAUUUUGAAACAGAAGGAACUGUGUCUAAAGUAAAUCAAUUCCUUAUUUACCUUCUCUGAAGUCUAGUCUUGUUUUAUUUGUUUAGCUCAAAACUUCUUAAACAAUAAAGCUAAAUAUUCUAACUUUUC